rnacentral:rRNA from 1 species
GUAGGGAAUAUUGCACAAUGGAGGAAACUCUGAUGCAGCGACGCCGCGUGAGUGAUGAAGGCCUUCGGGUCGUAAAGCUCUGUCGCAGGGGAAUAACACAAUGAAGGUACCCUGUAAGAAAGGAUCGGCUAACUUCGUGCCAGCAGCCGCGGUAAGACGAGGGAUCCUAGCGUUGUUCGGAAUCAUUGGGCGUAAAGCGGAUGUAGGUGGCUAUGUAAGUCAGAUGUGAAAGCCUGGGGCUAAACCCCAGAAGUGCAUUUGAUACUGCGUAGCUUGAGUGUCGGAGAGGUUACUAGAAUUGUUGGUGUAGUGGUGAAAUACGUAGAUAUCAACAGGAAUACCGGAGGCGAAGGCGGGUAACUGGCCGAACACUGACACUGAGAUCCGAAAGCGUGGGGAUCAAACAGGAUUAGAUACCCUUGUAGUCC